rnacentral:sRNA from 4 species
AUAUCUCUCCGUACGGGAAGGAUGAGAAGCUUCGACUAAGGUUCGAUUCGAGCGCAGCGAGAACGCGUUGCCGCAGGCAACGACCCGAAGGGCGAAG